rnacentral:rRNA from 1 species
CGCAUCUGUGCAUGCAGCAUAUCAAUAAGCGGAGGAAAAGAAACUAACAAGGAUUCCCCUAGUAACGGCGAGUGAAGCGGGAAGAGCUCAAAUUUGAAAUCUUAAAGGGUUUCCCUUUACGAAUUGUAGUUUAAAGAAGUGUUUUCUGUUGAGGUUUUGGUAAAAGUUCUUUGGAAUAGGACAUCAUAGAGGGUGAGAAUCCCGUAUUGACCUUUACUUUCAACUUUGUGAUACACUUUCAAAGAGUCGGAUUGUUUGGGAAUGCAGUCCAAAAUGGGUGGUAAAUUUCAUCUAAAGCUAAAUAUUGGCGAGAGACCGAUAGCGAACAAGUACCGUGAGGGAAAGAUGAAAAGAACUUUGAAAAGAGAGUUAAACAGUACGUGAAAUUGUCAAAAGGGAAGCGUUUGACACCAGUGUUGUUUUUCUGAAAAUCAAUUAAAGAACUGUUUAUGCUAAGUUGUUUAGACUUUAUCAGCUAACUGUUUAGUUUUGAGCUUUUCUUUAAUGCACUUUUCAGUUAACAAGUCAACAUCAAUUUCUUUUGCUGUAAAAAAGCUUGAGGAAGGUGGCUUGAGAUUCGUCUUAAGUGUUUAUAGCCUCUUGCCUAUGCAGUCGGAGAGAUUGAGGUCUGCAGCGUAGAUCCUUCGGGGCUAAAUGCAUUUGUGCUAAGUUAUAACCUUUUAUAGACAACUUGUUGACUAUGAUUUGUCUUGUAGGCUUACUCGCUUAUGUUAUUUUACCUACGCUUAGGAUGUUGAACGCGCACAGAGUCUC